CAAAUCUUGUCAAUCAAAUGUUGUCAAUCUGUUCCAGUCUGGGUAUUUCUUGAUGUUUUUUUGAUGCUUGUAUUCCCUGUGAUCUUGUCGACACUAGAAACCAAAAUGGCGGGAGAAACAAAUUAGUCUUCAGCGGAGAGAAAUUCUAUUACUUACCGUGGAAUGAUAGCGACGUUAUUCUAGUUGUUCAAGGCUGGGAACUCCAUGUACAUAAAACUAUACUGGCUCUUCAAUCACCAGUUUUCAAAGCGAUGUUUAAUGGCCAGUUUCGGGAAGCCACUGCUGAGCGAGUAACCUUAGAAGGAAAAACUCAUAAAUGGGUGCUGCAAUUUUUGAGGCUUUUAUACCCUGCAAAUAUUUAUUCGGAUGAAGCAGUCAAUCAAAUCUUUGCUGAGAUUGAGCAUGUUCAAUUAAGAGAGAUGCGUGUGAAAUCAUUUGGAGAUUCUAUAAUCCAUAAAUCCAAGUGCUAAAUAUGAAGGCUAAUGCAAAAUCAGGGAAUGGAAUUUAAACAUGACGUCUAACUGUCUAUAAGGGUCAGUUUCCUGCCCAAUAAACUUUGAUAUUGUUUAUGCAAACUGGGACAUAUGAUGCAAAUUGAAUGUAUUUGAGCAUAUGAACAAAGUCAUACAAUUAUGUUAGAGAAUGGUUGUGUUAUUUCAAAAGUUGAUAGCACAUUAACAUUACAUUGACCAUCUCGUCCAAAAUAUAAACAGAUUUGUGGCAAGGGAACCAGAAUUAUACAAAUCUUGCCCUAGUGCCUCAUUGGUUUUUAAUUGGAUAAUUAGUAUGUUUUUAAGUCUGUAGAGAAGUUGUGAUGUCCGGGGUGAUGUAAAUCUGUGGGCCGUUUAAGACUUACUUAAAUUAAGUAAGUUAGUUAGGUGUGCACUUGGUGUAUGUUUGUCAGAGGGUAAACUUUUACUUCAUUGUAACACUUUUUAUAAACCUCUCA